AGACCAUGAUGAGGACACUUUCUUAGUAGCUCCUUGAACCUUUUCCAAGUUUCAUAUAAGGAUUCCCCAUCCUCUUGUGAAAAUGUGUUAAUUUCGGUUAUUAAUUU
rfam:Helianthus annuus linkage group 2, whole genome shotgun sequence.